rnacentral:lncRNA from 1 species
GAGAGAGCACGUGAGAGAAUUUUUUUAAUAUUUAUUUUUCAGUUUUCGGCAGACUCAACAUCUUUGUUUGUAUGUGGUGCUGAGGAUCGAACCCAGGCCGCACGCAUGCCAGGCGAGCGCGCUACCACUUGAGCCACAUCCCCAGCCCCUAGUUUUUAUUUUUUUACUAAACUUAGGGUCACUUAAUCAGUAAACCACCUCCCCAGAUUUGUUUUUCAUUUUUACUUAAAGAUAGGGUUUGCUAACUUAUUUAGGGCCUUACUAAGUUAUGGAGCCUAGCUUUGAACAUGCAAAACGCCUUCUGUAGCUUCUUAAGUCCCUAGGGUCACAGGCAUGGAACACCAUGCCUGUUUUACAUAGCAUUUUUAUACAUAUUUGCAUUACGUCUGCAAUUUGUUACUAAAUAAAAAGUGGGAAUUUCUUAAUGUUAACCUUGUCAUGCAUUUAAUGACGUUAUAAGGUCACAUACUUCCUACUAUUCACUUUGCUAAUGGAGCGAUGCAAUAGUAAAACAUUCUAUUGGGUAAAUAAUGCUAUAACAUCUCCAUUAAUUAUUUCAUGUUUAAUCUAGUUUUAUUUGGGGAAUAUUAUUUAUGUAAAUUAUUUUCGUAAUUAUGGAAAAUUUCAGACAGUUAUAGGAAGGACCUAGGGAUAUUAAAAUAAUGCCCAGACAUCCCUAGUUUGAAUUAUGACAUUAACAUUUCUCUUUUUUUUUUUAGAGAGAGAGAGAGAGAGAGAGAGAGAGAGAUUGAUUGAUUUAAUUUUCGGCAGACACAACAUCUUUGUUGGUAUGUGGUGCUGAGGAUCGAACCCGGGCUGCACACAUGCCAGGCGAGUGCGCUACCGCUUGAGCCACAUCCCCAGCCCAACAUUUCUCUUUGUACAGUUGCAGUACUCCCAAAGGGAUCUUCAACUCUGGAGAGUUGUACAAGCUCCCAAUCAGGGAAAGGAGAAAGACCCAAGAGACUGGGAGCCAACAUGCGUAUUCAGAUAAAAAAGGAGGUUUACUGAAGGAGGAAAUAGUCUCAGUGUUUCCUGGAGAAACCACGUGGUCUACAGGCCCAUCCUGACUCUUGGACUGAAGAAACCAUGCAGUUCCUCAUGAAUUCCAUGACGUUCAUCACUGAGGAGACUAGACUGGCCUCAAGUGUAGGAAAAACAUCCCAAUAUAGGACCACCUCUUUAGUCUUGGAAACCCAGUAGAAAAGUGUAACCAGAAACAUGUAAAAUGGUGACUGUAAAAAGAAAAAUACACACUAUAGGAGCAUUUAUGUCCUCACAUUUUUUAUUUCAUUAUAUAUUUUGAUUUUGUAGACAUUUUUCAUUCUACUUAAUAACUUACAAUGUAAUGAUUGUUAUACUUAUUGGAUUAUAUGAUAGAUAGCAUGUGUCAUGGUCUUCCAGAACCCUCUGCAACCCAGUAAUUAUAAGAUAGUAUAAACUAAACCUGUCCCUCUUCAGAUCUUACAGCUCCAGGAGUCCAUGACACUACAGAGAGAGAAACAAAAUUUUGAUUGAAAUAAACCUCUAGAUUCUCAUCCACAUGCCCUGAUUAAAAAGUAAAAUCACAAUAUUCUCUUCAUAUGUGAGCCUUUUGGGUCAAAAAAAUACCACCCACAAACAUUUCAUUUAAUUUUAUUUGGGAAAAUUAAUAUUGAAAUAUAAUGAUAAAUUCUAGGAGAAUAAUAUUCACAGCAUUGUUUAUUCCAAAGGGUAAAUCUCUAGGUUUCAUGCUUAUCUCCACAUUAUUUUAUGUAUAAAACAGGCUUCAUUUUACAUAUCACAGUUUUAAUUAUUUAUAAGGCCCAGAGGAAAGAUUCAGUACUAGAGGUCUAAGGAAAAUAAAAAAGCUCUUUCCUUUUCAUGUGACUGCAUGAUGUCUGCAUAUGCUUGAUGAAACAGCUAAAGAAUGCUGAUUUCUCAAUGCAUCUGGCUCCAUUGCUCACUCAUUGGAACCCCAAUUUAUUGAGUCAUCUCAAGGCUAUCACUGCCUCCUCUAGGAUCUGACCUGUUCUUGGGAGGAUGUAGUGUUCUUCAUGGGAUCACUAGGUCAUACAAGUUGUUAGAAUGAAGCUUUCUUUGUUCUAAAUUGUGUUUAUUCAGCCUCACUUUCAAUAAAAUUUAGAACAAGAAGUCACACUCUCACCUGUGGCGAGAAUAGUCUGCCCAGGACUUGCCAGUCAGGACCCUGAAAAGCUGUUUGGGACUCACUAGUACAUAGGUUCAGUGUUGGGGUUUUCCUAGUCUGGCAAUACAGUUGCCUGUGUCUGUUACUUUGGCUUUCUCUCUUGCUUUCAUAGUAUUACUCAAAGAAACACUGUCUUGUGUGAAGAAAGUGUCUUCCUUAUCUAUUGGACCUGACCUGCCAAGUUGAGCAGCUGCCCACAUGCUUAAUGUCACAAACACAUGUAUAUGUUAUCUAAUCAGGAACUAGUGUAUCUUUCAACUGCAUGAUUUUUUAUUUCAUGGGGGAGGAAAUUGUGAAUGCUUUCUUUGAGUGCACACGGCACUAUUGAUAGUAUUCAUAACACUGCUAUGUAAUGUUUCCUCUCUGCUCUACUUGUAAGUAUUUCUCUUGUGCUGUUUUGUAAAACAAAUAGAAAAGAGUUGUAAACCAAAAAUUUUGUGAUAAUUGAUAAUUGCACAGACUGGCUUGGGCAACUCUAUUUACCAUUGUUUAUUAUUUUGUAUGGGCUUAAGGUACUCUUUUAUACUUUUAUUUAACCUUAAUGACAUUAGAAUUUAUUGAGGAGAUUUUCACUCACAAAACCUUCUCUCUAUACAAAUGUGUCCUUAUCAUUUUUAAAAUUUUGUACUCUUUUUAGGUAUGCAUGACAGUAGAGCAAAUUUUGACAUAUUAUUCAUGGAGUAAAACUUAUUUUAGUUAGCAUUCCCUUCUUGAGGUGUACAUGGUGUGGACCUUCACUGGUUGUGUAUUUAUAUAUGAACAUAGAAAAGCUGUGUUUGAUCCAUUCUACUCUCAUCUGUAUUCCCAUUUCCCUUUUCUUCCCUUCAUUCCAACUUUGUCUAAUCCACUCAAUUUCUAUUGUCUCCUUCUCCCUUGUUGAGGGGUUUAGCAUCCAUAUAUAUUAUAUAUUAUAUGUAAUGUCUGUUUCAUUCUACUAUCCUUCCUAUCCCAUAUCCCCUCCCUGCACUCCUCUCUACUUAAUCUAAAUUAACUAUUCUUCUCCACCCCGCAUUGUGAAAUUAGCACCCACUUAUCAGAGAAAAUAUUUGGCUUUUGUGUUGGUGUGUGUGUGUGUGUGUGUGUGUGUGUAUUGGCUUAUUUCACUUAGUAUGAUAUUUUCCAACUCCAUCCAUUUACCACCAAAUUCCAUAGUUUCAUUCAUCUCUAAAGCUAAGUAAUAUUCCAUUGUUGGGGGGAUAUAUAUUUAACACAUUUUAUUUAUCCAUUCAUCUGUUGAAGGACACCUAGGUUGGAUUCAUCUAUUGAAGGACACCUAGGUUGGUUCUAUGGUUUAGCUGUUGUGAAUUGUGGUGCUGAAAACAUUGGUGGGGCUGCAUCCCUGUAGUAUGCUGUUUUCAAGUCCUUUGGGAAUAGUCCAGGGAGAGGGAUAUCUGGGUCAAAUGAUGGUUCCAUGCUGGUUUUGCAAGGAGCCUCCAUACUGCUUUCCAUGGUGGUUGCACAAAUUUGCAGUCAGUCCCAUGAGCAAUGUGUGAGGGUUCGUUUCCCCCCACAUUCUCACCAACAUUUAUUGUUGCCUGUAUUAUUGAUGAUUGCCAUUCUGCCUGAAGUGAGAUAAAAUAUUAAAUUUUGAUUUACAUUUUCCUAAUUGCUAGAUGUGUUGAAUAUUUUUUCAUGUAUUUGGUAAUGGAUUAUAUUUUUUCUGUGAAGUGUCUGUUCAGUUACAUUGCCCAUUUGUUAAUUGGGUUUAUUGUUAAGUUUUGAGUUCUUUGUAUACCCUAGAGAUUAAUUCUUUAUCUGAGGUACUUGUGGUAAAGGCUUUUUACAAAUCUGUAGGUUCUCUCUUCACAUUAUAGUUUCUUUUGCUGAGAAGCAGCUUUUUAGGUUGAAUCUGUCUCAUUUAUUGAUUCUUGAUUUUUAAUUCUUGUGCUGUAAGGGUCUUGUUAUGGAAGUCAGAUUCUGGAUGAACAUUCACCAGAUUUUUAAAUGGCAUCUGAAGUUCAUGAAUAUUUCACUUUUAUUGUUUCUCUUACCAUCUUGCCUUAUAGAGGUAUAUGUUCUAAAGAGCCAUGAAAUGAUCUAACUUCACAUGCAUGAUUUUCUGAUGACUGUUAUUUUUCAAUAUGUAGCUGCAGAUUAUUUAAAAUAUAUAUCUACUAUUUCAGACACUUUAAUUAAAGCACAUGCAUGCCUUGUGUAGGAAAUAUUCCAUCCAUAGAUCAACAUCAAAUCUAUAAUAUAUAUAAAAGCCUUGAUUCAAAUGCAUGCAUAUCCACUUCAGAGCUUUUCCUAUCACACUUAUCCUAUGCUAGUUCCACAUUUUAGGCCCCCCGUGAAAGAAUGACACAGAAAUUCUUUUUUGGGGUGGGGGAUGAUGAAGAUGGAACUCAGGGACACUCAACCACUGAGCCACAUCCCUAGCCAUAUUUUAUGUAGAGACAGGAUCUCACUGAGCUGCCUAGUAAAACUUUCAGUGAGGCUGGCUCUGAGUGCUCUACUGCUGAGCUACAGCCACAGCCCCAGAGAUUUUAAUUUGUUGUUGUUGUUGUUGUUGUUGUCGAGAUUAUGCUAUGAACUUUGAAAUACUUUGUUCAUAU